rnacentral:rRNA from 1 species
UACGAGAGGCCCAAACGUUAUUCGGAAUUACUGGGCUUAAAGAGUUCGUAGGCGGCAUUGCAAGUAGGGUGUGAAAGCCCUCGGCUCAACCGAGGAAUUGCGCUCUAAACUGCAGUGCUUGAGGACCUAGAGGUGAGCAGAACAGAUGGUGGAGCGGUGAAAUGCGUUGAUAUCAUCUGGAAUACCGGAGGCGAAGGCGGCUCACUGGGAGUUUUCUGACGCUGAGGAACGAAAGCCAGGGUAGCGAACAGG